rnacentral:rRNA from 1 species
GGGUUGUGAGGUUAAGCGACUAAGCGUACACGGUGGAUGCCCUGGCAGUCAGAGGCGAUGAAGGACGUGCUAAUCUGCGAAAAGCGUCGGUAAGGUGAUAUGAACCGUUAUAACCGGCGAUGUCCGAAUGGGGAAACCCAGUGCAAUUCGUUGCACUAUCGUUAACUGAAUACAUAGGUUAACGAGGCGAACCGGGGGAACUGAAACAUCUAAGUACCCCGAGGAAAAGAAAUCAACCGAGAUUCCCCCAGUAGCGGCGAGCGAACGGGGAGCAGCCCAGAGUCUGAAUCAGCUUGUGUGUUAGUGGAACGGUCUGGAAAGUCCGACGGUACAGGGUGAUAGUCCCGUACACCAAAAUGCACAGGUUGUGAACUCGAAGAGUAGGGCGGGACACGUGGUAUCCUGUCUGAAUAUGGGGGGACCAUCCUCCAAGGCUAAAUACUCCUGACUGACCGAUAGUGAACCAGUACCGUGAGGGAAAGGCGAAAAGAACCCCGGCGAGGGGAGUGAAAAAGAACCUGAAACCGUGUACGUACAAGCAGUGGGAGCACCUUCGGGUGUGACUGCGUACCUUUUGUAUAAUGGGUCAGCGACUUAUAUUCUGUAGCAAGGUUAACCGUAUAGGGGAGCCGCAGGGAAACCGAGUCUUAACUGGGCGUUAAGUUGCAGGGUAUAGACCCGAAACCCGGUGAUCUAGCCAUGGGCAGGUUGAAGGUUGGGUAACACUAACUGGAGGACCGAACCGACUAAUGUUGAAAAAUUAGCGGAUGACUUGUGGCUGGGGGUGAAAGGCCAAUCAAACCGGGAGAUAGCUGGUUCUCCCCGAAAGCUAUUUAGGUAGCGCCUCGUGAACUCAUCUUCGGGGGUAGAGCACUGUUUCGGCUAGGGGGUCAUCCCGACUUACCAACCCGAUGCAAACUACGAAUACCGAAGAAUGUUAUCACGGGAGACACACGGCGGGUGCUAACGUCCGUCGUGAAGAGGGAAACAACCCAGACCGCCAGCUAAGGUCCCAAAGUCAUGGUUAAGUGGGAAACGAUGUGGGAAGGCACAGACAGCCAGGAUGUUGGCUUAGAAGCAGCCAUCAUUUAAAGAAAGCGUAAUAGCUCACUGGUCGAGUCGGCCUGCGCGGAAGAUGUAACGGGGCUAAACCAUGCACCGAAGCUGCGGCAGCGACACUAUGUGUUGUUGGGUAGGGGAGCGUUCUGUAAGCCUGCGAAGGUGUGCUGUGAGGCAUGCUGGAGGUAUCAGAAGUGCGAAUGCUGACAUAAGUAACGAUAAAGCGGGUGAAAAGCCCGCUCGCCGGAAGACCAAGGGUUCCUGUCCAACGUUAAUCGGGGCAGGGUGAGUCGACCCCUAAGGCGAGGCCGAAAGGCGUAGUCGAUGGGAAACAGGUUAAUAUUCCUGUACUUGGUGUUACUGCGAAGGGGGGACGGAGAAGGCUAUGUUAGCCGGGCGACGGUUGUCCCGGUUUAAGCAUGUAGGCUGGUUNNNNNNNNNNNNNNNNNNNNNNNNNNNNNNNNNNNNNNNNNNNNNNNNNNNNNNNNNNNNNNNNNNNNNNNNNNNNNNNNNNNNNNNNNNNNNNNNNNNNCAAGGCUGAGGUGUGAUGACGAGGCACUACGGUGCUGAAGUAACAAAUGCCCUGCUUCCAGGAAAAGCCUCUAAGCAUCAGGUAACAUCAAAUCGUACCCCAAACCGACACAGGUGGUCAGGUAGAGAAUACCAAGGCGCUUGAGAGAACUCGGGUGAAGGAACUAGGCAAAAUGGUGCCGUAACUUCGGGAGAAGGCACGCUGGUGUGUAGGUGAAGCCCCUGCGGGUGGAGCUGAGACCAGUCGAAGAUACCAGCUGGCUGCAACUGUUUAUUAAAAACACAGCACUGUGCAAACACGAAAGUGGACGUAUACGGUGUGACGCCUGCCCGGUGCCGGAAGGUUAAUUGAUGGGGUUAUCCGUAAGGAGAAGCUCUUGAUCGAAGCCCCGGUAAACGGCGGCCGUAACUAUAACGGUCCUAAGGUAGCGAAAUUCCUUGUCGGGUAAGUUCCGACCUGCACGAAUGGCGUAAUGAUGGCCAGGCUGUCUCCACCCGAGACUCAGUGAAAUUGAACUCGCUGUGAAGAUGCAGUGUACCCGCGGCAAGACGGAAAGACCCCGUGAACCUUUACUAUAGCUUGACACUGAACAUUGAGCCUUGAUGUGUAGGAUAGGUGGGAGGCUUUGAAGCGUGGACGCCAGUCUGCGUGGAGCCAACCUUGAAAUACCACCCUUUAAUGUUUGAUGUUCUAACGUUGGCCCCUUACCGGGGUUGCGGACAGUGUCUGGUGGGUAGUUUGACUGGGGCGGUCUCCUCCCAAAGCGUAACGGAGGAGCACGAAGGUUAGCUAAUCCUGGUCGGACAUCAGGAGGUUAGUGCAAUGGCAUAAGCUAGCUUGACUGCGAGCGUGACGGCGCGAGCAGGUGCGAAAGCAGGUCAUAGUGAUCCGGUGGUUCUGAAUGGAAGGGCCAUCGCUCAACGGAUAAAAGGUACUCCGGGGAUAACAGGCUGAUACCGCCCAAGAGUUCAUAUCGACGGCGGUGUUUGGCACCUCGAUGUCGGCUCAUCACAUCCUGGGGCUGAAGUAGGUCCCAAGGGUAUGGCUGUUCGCCAUUUAAAGUGGUACGCGAGCUGGGUUUAGAACGUCGUGAGACAGUUCGGUCCCUAUCUGCCGUGGGCGCUGGAGAAUUGAGGGGGGCUGCUCCUAGUACGAGAGGACCGGAGUGGACGCAUCACUGGUGUUCGGGUUGUCAUGCCAAUGGCACUGCCCGGUAGCUAAAUGCGGAAGAGAUAAGUGCUGAAAGCAUCUAAGCACGAAACUUGCCCCGAGAUGAGUUCUCCCUGAGACUUUAAGUCUCCUGAAGGAACGUUGAAGACGACGACGUUGAUAGGCCGGGUGUGUAAGCGCAGCGAUGCGUUGAGCUAACCGGUACUAAUGAACCGUGAGGCUUAACCUUACAACGCCGAAG